rnacentral:rRNA from 1 species
AGCGCAGGCUGCCAGAUAAGUCAGAUGUGAAAGCCCGGGGCUCAACCCCGGAAGUGCAUUUGAAACUGUUUGGCUUGAGUAUGGUAGAGGGAAGUGGAAUUCCAGGUGUAGCGGUGAAAUGCGUAGAUAUCUGGAGGAACACCGGUGGCGAAGGCGACUUCCUGGACCAAUACUGACGCUGAGGCUCGAAGGUGUGGGUAGCAAACAGGAUUAGAUACCCUGGUAGUC